rnacentral:rRNA from 1 species
GAUCAUGGCUCAGGAUGAACGCUAGCUACAGGCUUAACACAUGCAAGUCGAGGGGAAACGACAUCGAAAGCUUGCUUUUGAUGGGCGUCGACCGGCGCACGGGUGGGUAACUCGUAUCCAACCUGCCCAUCACUUGGGAAUAACCUUGCGAAAGUAAGACUAAUGCCCAAUGAUAUCCCACGAAGGCAUCCGAAUGGGAUUAAAGAUUUAUCGGUGAUGGAUGGGGAUGCGUCUGAUUAG